UUUGCUCUUACCUCAAAAUCUAUCACAUCCCCAUUAUGGGGCAAUUUUGGUUCAAAAGUUUAUUUUUUGAACCAAACUAGCAAUUGCCGAUUUAGUUGUUGAUUCUUCUACUUUCUUUGACUUCAACCAUCCUUUAGACCGACUUUAACUCACUUUGGUUCCAAACCAACCAAUCCAAUUCAACUUUUUCAUCUUUUCUCUCUAACCAAUGUAUGAUCACAUCACAUCCAAUUCAAAAUUCUUUUUUCUUUUUUCUUUUCUCUCACUUCUCACUUUUUACUUCCCUCUUCUCUCACUUCUCUCACUUCCAGAAUCCUCUUUCUCUUCCGUCAUCUUCAUCAACAACAUUUUCUACCUAUUAUCUUCAUAUGUCUCUAGCAUCUUCAUCUUCCUUUUCCAACAUUUUGACAAAUUCAAUAUAUUUUUUAUUAUGGUUUAGGGUUUUGAGUUUUUUUACCAAAACCAUUUUCAUCUAUUUGGACAUGUUCAUUCACAUCAAGAGAAGUUGAAACUGCUUUCAGGUCUCCUUCUGUCAUUGAUGAUACUGAAAGGAAUAAUGAAUAAUUUUUACCUAAUAUCGGUCUUCUUCAUACAUUCACCAUGGCAAGAUUGUUUGAGUUGGACAUUUUCUUCUAUUUCUAUGACAGUAAUUUUUAAAGAUCUGUUUGGAUGAACAUUUUUAUAGAUUAGUGUCUUUGAUUCUUUACCAUAACAUUUUGCAAAGUAAAUUCCUCUUCUUAUUUAAAAAUGCUCUAUUUAUGUUAUGUGUUAUGUUUCAUAAUAUUUGUUUACUCAGUUUUUGUUCAUAUGGUACAUUAAAAUGCAGGUUAAAUCAUCUACAUCUUUGUUUUCUCUUUUUUUCAAUUUGUAAUGUUUAUUUGGUCAGUCAACCUUUUUUAUUUUGAUUUUUCGGUUUUGUUUUAUGAUUACACCGAAGAAAUGAUGUUUGUGAGAAGAAACAAGUGGAUUUGACUCACCGACCUAUCAUUAUAUGAGGAUUUAUGAUAGGUAGUUGUUGCUACAGAGAUUGAUGGAGCAUUACGUGGCGUGGUUAGACAACUUUCAAUUGAUCAAUUAGAAGAUAAAGGCAGGUGGAUCAGUUAUGGCUCUCCAGAAAAUGCAAUUGCUGCUAGAAAGUAAUUAGAUUGAAAGAUGUCAAUCAAUAACAUUCUAAAACAGAGUGAUUUUGCAAGCCAAUAAAUUAUAAUUUCUCUUACCUUGUGUUUUUAAGAAAAAUAAUUUAAAAUUUGAAAACUUUUAUGAUUCUCUUCUAUAUGUUCUUAUCAGAAAGCAAUAUUAAUUUGUGAGUAAUUUCUUAAACUGACAAUUUUUUAGAGUAUUUGUGUGUCUGCAAUUUUGUUUUUUUAUAUAAGCAUAAUGAAGAAAUUGCAAAUUUUUGUUAUUUGAGGAAUUUUAAGAGCUUGAAGCACUUGCAGAUCCAAUGAGAAAAUAAUUUUCAUUUGUUAGAAAGAAAAUUGAUUCAGUGAAUAAAGAAUUAAAGUCGUUUGGCCAAUCUUGCUAGAAGAAGGUGAGUUAGGUUAAUUGUUUAUGAUUAAGGGCUUGUUUGGAUAAACAACUUAUCUACAACUUAUAGCACUCGUGCUUAUCAAAAUAAGUACUUAUGGAUAAGAACAUAUAACUUAUUUUUAUAACAAAAGAUAAAAUAAAUUUAAAUUAUUUUUAUAUAGGUUAUAAGUUGCAUUUUGUGUUUUUCGGUCUGGGUGUGUUUAUUGUUUGACAUUAUGUUAUAUGUGUUGAAGCUCCAUCCAACAUAAAACUGAAGGUGUUGUUUGCUUCGACACACGUCUGCGAGAAAGAGACGUGAAUAAUCAAUAGGUGUGAUAGAAUUGCUCGUGAAUAAUCAACAGAGUCGAAAACAUGGUCAAAGUUCCCCAACAACCACCAAACUCAAGAAGAAGAAUAAAAUCACAAAGUUUGCACCGAGAUAGGCUGUGCCAGAACCAACAGAGAACUUGGUCGAGGUCGAAGGCUCAAACGACAAUGAAAAGACCCAGAUCUUUUCAAAUCGUAGACCCAAGCCCUCUCCUAAGCCAUAUGUCAGCAAGACGAAAGGUACCAGUCAAAAGAUAAAUCCUCCCAAGGAAAAACAAACUUCGACUGCUGGUCAUGCUAAUAAGGAGGGUAAAGAUUUGGCCAAUUAUAAUAAGGAGAAUUGAAACAAGCAACGAAAAGUCCUCCAAAUAAAAAAGGAAGAGACAAAGGAACCAUGUGUAUUACUUGUAUUUCUCAUUAAUCAUUUUACCUAACGCAACUAAUCAUUCCUCUUUCUCAUUCACAACCACGAUUGAAUGAGAAUAUGGUAUACAAAUCAAAAGGUAUUAAAUGUUAGACUCCCACUUACUCUCA